ACCAUAGGAAAAAGGGUCCAUUAGUGGCCAGAUAUUUAAAUAAUACGUGUUUACUAUGUUGUUAAUAAUGCAGAUCGCGCGAGGUUAUCUCGGGCUAUAUCCUAAUUAAUUAAAAAAUAUAUAAAUCCAAGUUUGCAAAUAUCAUGAAUUAUUUAAAAGUUCAAGAAUCAGAAGAGAACAAGUGUUUGUUUGAAGACUAAGCGUAUUAUCAAACUACAGUACACCAUUACUUACUAUAAACUUCGCAACAUGAGGGCUAUCUUAAUCACUCUAUUAUGUCUUACAUAUGGUUUAAUGUUUGCGGACGCUAGAUAUUCUGAUCAGCAACCGUCAAUGCCUUGCAUCGAAAUCCACCGUUACGAUAGACGAAUUGAUCAAUGUCUUGACGUUAUGGCAUGCUAUGAAAUCCUUUAUAAUUAUGUACAAGGCUUCGUAAGCAAAAACCUCAUCGUACUCUACGUAAGCGCAGCGAAUGCACAUUCUAGUACUGAAUUGGAAGAGCUUUUUGAGGAAAGCAAUAUUUAUGUUCCAACACAAGGAUCCCUAUUAGAUAAGAUAGCAGCUGUCCGAAAUCAGUGUGUAAAUAAGCUAAAUAGAAUUGUACCUGAUUUCGUUACAUAUUUACAAAACACUUGUUACAACUACUAUUAAAGCAUAUGAAGAAAUCAGUAGUACUUAAGUUUUUUUAAGCGAUUCGAAAUAGUGGUCAAAGAAGAUUAAAAACUAGACUAGAAUGUAGUAGUGGAAUUACAAAUAGUAUACUUUUGACAAAUAAAAAAGAAUGUUCUAUUGUU
rnacentral:lncRNA from 1 species